UACGUAGGGCGCAAGCGUUAUCCGGAAUUAUUGGGCGUAAAGAGCUCGUAGGCGGUUUGUCGCGUCUGCCGUGAAAGUCCGGGGCUCAACUCCGGAUCUGCGGUGGGUACGGGCAGACUAGAGUGAUGUAGGGGAGACUGGAGUUCCUGGUGUAGCGGUGAAAUGCGCAGAUAUCAGGAGGAACACCGAUGGCGAAGGCAGGUCUCUGGGCAUUAACUGACGCUGAGGAGCGAAAGCAUGGGGAGCGAACAGG
rnacentral:rRNA from 1 species